UGGCGGUAGGCCUAACACAUGCAAGUCGAACGAGUGGCGGACGGGUGAGGAAUACAUCGGAAUCUACUCUGUCGUGGGGGAUAACGUAGGGAAACUUACGCUAAUACCGCAUACGAUUGAAUGAGCCGAUGUCGGAUUAGCUAGUUGGCGGGGUAAAGGCCCACCAAGGCGACGAUCCGUAGCUGGUCUGAGAGGAUGAUCAGCCACACUGGAACUGAGACACGGUCCAGACUCCUACGGGAGGCAGCAGUGGGGAAUAUUGGACAAUGGGCGCAAGCCUGAUCCAGCCAUACCGCGUGGGUGAAGAAGGCCUUCGGGUUGUAAAGCCCUUUUGUUGGGAAAGCGGUACCCAAAGAAUAAGCACCGGCUAACUUCGUGCCAGCAGCCGCGGUAAUACGAAGGGUGCAAGCGUUACUCGGAAUUACUGGGCGUAAAGCGUGCGUAGGUGGUCGUUUAAGUCCGUUGUGAAAGCCCUGGGCUCAACCUGGGAACUGCAGUGGAUACUGGGCGACUAGAAUGUGGUAGAGGGUAGCGGAAUUCCUGGUGUAGCAGUGAAAUGCGUAGAGAUC
rnacentral:rRNA from 1 species